CCUACGGGAGGCAGCAGUGGGGAAUAUUGGACAAUGGGCGAAAGCCUGAUCCAGCCAUGCCGCGUGAGUGAUGAAGGCCUUAGGGUUGUAAAGCUCUUUUACCAGGGAUGAUAAUGACNGUACCUGGAGAAUAAGCUCCGGCUAACUCCGUGCCAGCAGCCGCGGUAAUACGGAGGGAGCUAGCGUUGUUCGGAAUUACUGGGCGUAAAGCGCACGUAGGCGGCCAUUUAAGUCAGAGGUGAAAGCCCGGGGCUCAACCCCGGAACUGCCUUUGAAACUGGAUNGCUUGAAUCUGGGAGAGGNGAGUGGAAUUCCCAGUGUAGAGGUGAAAUUCGUAGAUAUUCGGAAGAACACCAGUGGCGAAGGCGGCUCUCUGGACCAUUAUUGACGCUGAGGCGCGAAAGCGUGGGGAGCAAACAGGAUUAGAUACCCUGGUAGA
rnacentral:rRNA from 1 species